AGAGUUUGAUCCUGGCUCAGAUUGAACGCUGGCGGCAGGCCUAACACAUGCAAGUCGAACGGUAACAGGAAGAAGCUUGCUUCUUUGCUGACGAGUGGCGGACGGGUGAGUAAUGUCUGGGAAACUGCCUGAUGGAGGGGGAUAACUACUGGAAACGGUAGCUAAUACCGCAUAACGUCGCAAGACCAAAAAGGGGGACCUUCGGGCCUCUUGCCAUCGGAUGUGCCCAGAUGGGAUUAGCUAGUAGGUGGGGUAACGGCUCACCUAGGCGACGAUCCCUAGCUGGUCUGAGAGGAUGACCAGCCACACUGGAACUGAGACACGGUCCAGACUCCUACGGGAGGCAGCAGUGGGGAAUAUUGCACAAUGGGCGCAAGCCUGGUGCAGCCAUGCCGCGUGUAUGAAGAAGGCCUUCGGGUUGUAAAGUACUUUCAGCGGGGAGGAAGGGAGUAAAGUUAAUACCUUUGCUCAUUGACGUUACCCGCAGAAGAAGCACCGGCUAACUCCGUGCCAGCAGCCGCGGUAAUACGGAGGGUGCAAGCGUUAAUCGGAAUUACUGGGCGUAAAGCGCACGCAGGCGGUUUGUUAAGUCAGAUGUGAAAUCCCCGGGCUCAACCUGGGAACUGCAUCUGAUACUGGCAAGCUUGAGUCUCGUAGAGGGGGGUAGAAUUCCAGGUGUAGCGGUGAAAUGCGUAGA
rnacentral:rRNA from 1 species